rnacentral:rRNA from 1 species
CCUACGGGUGGCAGCAGUGGGGAAUAUUGGACAAUGGGGGCAACCCUGAUCCAGCCAUGCCGCGUGUGUGAAGAAGGCCCUCGGGUUGUAAAGCACUUUCAGUGAGGAAGAACGCCUGGUGGUUAAUACCCAUCAGGAAAGACAUCACUCACAGAAGAAGCACCGGCUAACUCCGUGCCAGCAGCCGCGGUAAUACGGAGGGUGCGAGCGUUAAUCGGAAUUACUGGGCGUAAAGCGCGCGUAGGUGGCUUGAUAAGCCGGUUGUGAAAGCCCCGGGCUCAACCUGGGAACAGCAUCCGGAACUGUCAAGCUAGAGUGCAGGAGAGGAAGGUAGAAUUCCCGGUGUAGCGGUGAAAUGCGUAGAGAUCGGGAGGAAUACCAGUGGCGAAGGCGGCCUUCUGGACUGACACUGACACUGAGGUGCGAAAGCGUGGGUAGCAAACAGGAUUAGAUACCCGGGUAGUC